ACAUACGACCAUAGACUCAAGAGAACUGGGCAUCCCGUCCGCUCUGCCAUACAUAACCUUGAGAUCGGUGGAUUAGUAGUUGGGUGGGUGACCACCAGCGAAUACCCUGACCAAGAUU
rnacentral:rRNA from 1 species